GCCUUUGUGGUGUAGUGGUAGCACGCGCUUUUGCUAUGGGUGAAAAGCUGGUUCGACUCCCGUCCGAGGUCGCG